GUGGGUGAGAGCACGUGUGGGGCCGGGAGCCAGGACUCCUGGGCUUUCUCCCCAGCUGUGGGAUGGGAGUGGGGUCUACUGGGUUAAAGCAGGGGGGCAGAAAGUCAGGACUGCUUGUGUUUUCUCCCCAGCUGUGGAAGUGGGGUGGGGCCUAGUACCCCAGAGCAGGGGGAUAAACUAGAUCUCUUUAUUUUUUGUAAAUUAAAAUCAAAAUCUCAGAGCCAGCUAACAAGCUGCCUCGGCUAACAUGUGAUAUCGAACUAGCUGGGGCUGAAAUUUGCCCUGUGCAAUGCGAUCCCCAGGCCUCAUUCACAGAGGGCCCUUUCAAAGGGCCCUGUGGGAGACGGAUGCCCAUUUCCCUUUGGAAACGGCCCCGCUGCCUCUUAGAGAUCAUCGUUAUUAGCUCUAUGGUGGCGACAGCAGCAGCUGAGUUGGGGCCCUGUGGCAGUGCACCUAGGCAAGAGCUUAGCUGAAACAGGCAAAAUAUGGGAGGGGAAACUGAGGCACAGAGAGGGCGUGUGACAUGCCCAAGGUCACCCAGCUGGCAGUGGCAGAGCCGGGAAUAGAACCCAGGUUUCCUGAGUCACGGUCGACUAGGCAACACUGCCCCUUACCAGAACCUCUGUGGGAUUUACUGGCAAUGCUUAGGCUGGCUCUGUGGAGUGCUCAACUCUGGGGUGGUCUUGUCCAUUUUGCGCUGCCCUCCGUGUCCUUGCUGAGCCUCGGCUGGCAGAGAGCGAGAAGCACGUUCCACAGGCUCUUUGCCCUGCUUUUUAUUCCAGUUUGUACUGAUCAAAGGGGAAAAACUCCAAAUGAAAGUCAUCUUCCAGUGGGGUUCUUCGCGGGGAAAUAAAUUGCUCUUUUGUGUCUGCACAGCGGCAAACAGGUUAUCGUCUGACUGCAGCUCCCAGAUGCUCGUGCAACAGAAAUAAAGAAUCCUAUUCUCUGAGCUGCUUUUCUGUUCUAAAGUUUUCCGUUAAUAAAGGGCGUAUUUACAAACUCA